rnacentral:tRNA from 1 species
AGAAAUAUGUCUGACAAAAGUUACUUUGAUAUAAUAAAUUACAGAGGUUCAAACCCUCUUAUUUCUA